ensembl:lncRNA
UCAAAGUACACCAAAGUCCGCUGAUUCACCCAGUACAAGAAUUAUGCUUCUAGUCCACCUAGUUUUUGAGUUACACGACGUUUUUUAAAUAAAUUUAUCAUAAUACACUACAUUUUAACAUAAUGACCUUAUAUUUAUUUAUGACUUUUAACCAUUACUUCAAAUUCAAAUAAUCCUGUUUGAAAUAUUGAUUCAACUUAUAGAAUUAAAUUUCUGCUAGUUGUUUUCUGUUGCAAAGAAAUCUAGUAUAAUAAUAUUUAAAUUUACAUAUAUAUCUUUCACGUUUUCAAUGCCAAUUUUGUGUAAUAACGGAGUUUCCCACUACCCGUGAAUGCCUCUUUUUUUAUGUCGCCGGCUCACUCCUGCAUCUCCGCCCACUCUCUGCUGAUCCCUGCCGGCCCGAGUGAAAGAGAUCUUUGGUUUUGCCUUUGCUGACUGCUGAUCUGAUCGUCUCAAGUCUGGUGACCUGCUGCAGAAGAUCCUCUCUCUCUAUCAUUAUAAGCAAUUCUGUCUAUCCUAUCACUCUCCCGACUCUAUCUAAUUUGACAGCCAUUCUAUCUUGUAUCCCUCUAUCCUCUACUGCUCUAUCUAAUUUGACAGCCAUUCUAUCUUGUAUCCCUCUAUCCCUACUGCUCUAUCUAAUUUGACAGCCAUUCUAUCUUGUAUCCCUCUAUCCCAAGCGCUCUAUCUAAUUUCAGAAUCCAAGUUUUCAGAAAUCCAAGUUUUCAGAUUCCAAGUUUUCAGAAAUCCAAGUACCAGUACUUGAUCUAUCUGUUACAGAAUUCUGAGAGAUCUCUGCUCUCACUGCUCCUUCUUUCCUGUCAUUAAACUCUCUCACAUUCAGUCAUUUUGCUGAAAAUUACAAUUAGAAAGUUGAAUAUACAGUAGUAGAAUAUCAGUACAGUAGAACUUAUAGUAGAAACUACUUAUACAGCCC